ensembl:lncRNA
CCCCCGUCUGUGCACCCACUUGCCCAGCAUUUUCUACUUUAAACUUCCCCAAUUGUUUUAAGUUCAAAGCCUUUUUGAGCUGCUCUUCAUUCACACACUGCACAAGAAGAUUACCAUCUGAGAGUACUUUAGCAGAAGCUAUAUCACCCACUUUACUGUUAAGUUCAGCUGUCAACACAAACGGACUCAAUUUUUUAAUAAGGACUUGUGUUCUGUCAUUGAAUCUCAGAACAACAAAUAUUCUCGUUCCCUCUCUAGCUUCUAAAGAACCAUCCCUACCACCACUGCUCCCACCUCUUUUACGCUUUUCCCUCCUCUGCUCACCUUGCACUUGCUCCAGAGGCAUUUCCUCCUCUUCAUCAAAAUCACCAUAGUCUUCCCAGCUGCCCACAGCUGACCCACUCACGGAACAGUCGUGCUCAACCGCCACCACAGGUGGACUGCCAACCAGGUUCGAAUUUUUGGCAGUGCUCCAACCAAGUUUGCCAGCAGACGCCGCUGCCAUCCGUCCUCUCUCCUCCUUCUUCUCCAGCGUUUUUUCGAAAAAGCCCAGGAGGUGUCGUGGAAAGGAUUUUGGCCCGAUCCGCCAUUUUCGGGGUCUAGCAAGUGAAAAGGGAGCGAAGGCACACACAACAGCCAUGGUUCGUAUUUGCUGUGUGGUCGGCUGCAAUGUUCGAUCGCACGACCGGCAAGAGAAUAAGCUUGAAAAGGGUUUAUCUUUUCAUUCUUUCCCAACCUGGAAGCAACAUGAAGCAGCUCGUGUAUCGAUGUUACCAAACAAAGGCGUCUAGCCUGGAUAGCAGCUGUGAGACGAGCUGAUAUCCAGCUCUCUUCCAUCUCCAAAUAUCUGUUGGUGCUCCAGACAUUUUCAUUCCGAGUUGCUAAUUAUUUGGCAUUAUUGCAACAAACCAGCCUAUGAAAUGGAUGAAACACAUCGUGACUGGGUUCCAGCGCUACAUAACGGACCUGCUUCAAACAUACCACCAUGCCAAUCAGAUUACUUCUUCCAUGUGAGGGUGAAGAGGUGACCCUUCUGGAUAAGAUGGUGAAGGUUUGCUGCGUUUGUUGAACAGUGUUGUAGUAAAACCAGGGAAAAUGAAACUUGCUCCUGUUAAAUAUUCUUAAGUCUUUUGCUGUAUAAAUAGUGGGUUGUUUUUUUUCAAAAGAUACAGUAAAUAAUGUUAGUAGUGGGUGAUAUCAUGUAAACACUGUCAUGAUUUUAUGUAAACAUUUUGUCUUUUAUAAACUAUAAAUGACAUGGAUUCUACACUGUAACUGAUGUGAUGUUCUAUAAAGUGGUUUUAAUAAUAAAAAAGAGGCAAAAAUUAGUUUGUUUCUUUAUUCAAUUUUUGAACAGUGGUACUCAGUCAGUACAUAUUCAGUAAAUGCAAAUUAUUUACAUGGCAGUGCACUUCAG